rnacentral:rRNA from 1 species
AGUAAAGUGGCGCACGGGUGAGUAACGCGUGGGUAAUCUGCCUCCGAAUCGGGGAUAACAUUGCGAAAGCGAUGCUAAUACCGGAUAAAAUCUGGUUGGCUUCGGUGAACCGGAUCAAAGGUGGUCUCUUUAUAAAAGCUACCGUUUGGAGAUGAGCUCGCGUACCAUUAGCUAGUUGGUGAGGUAAAGGCUCACCAAGGCGACGAUGGUUAGCUGGUCUGAGAGGAUGAUCAGCCACACCGGAACUGGAACACGGUCCGGACUCCUACGGGAGGCAGCAGUGAGGAAUUUUGCGCAAUGGGGGAAACCCUGACGCAGCAACGCCGCGUGAGUGAUGAAGGCUUUCGGGUCGUAAAGCUCUGUCGGGUGGGAAGAACCCACCAAGUGUUAAGACCACUUGGUGCUGACGGUACCACCGAAGGAAGCACCGGCUAACUCCGUGCCAGCAGCCGCGGUAAUACGGGGGGUGCGAGCGUUAUUCGGAAUCAUUGGGCGUAAAGGGCGCGCAGGCGGUUUUGUAAGUCAGAUGUGAAAUCCCGGGGCUUAACCCCGGAAGUGCAUAUGAAACUAUGAGACUUGAGUAUGAGAGAGGGAAGCGGAAUUCUUGGUGUAGCGGUGAAAUGCGUAGAUAUCAGGAGGAACACCGGUGGCGAAGGCGGCUUCCUGGACCAAUACUGACGCUGAGGCGCGAAGGCGUGGGGAGCGAACAGGAUUAGAUACCCUGGUAGUCCACGCAGUAAACGUUGAUCACUAGGUGUAGGAAGGGCUCGACCCCUUUCUGUGCCCACAGCUAACGCGUUAAGCACUCCGCCUGGGGAGUACGGUCGCAAGACUAAAACUCAAAGGAAUAGACGGGGACCCGCACAAGCGGUGGAUCAUGUGGUUUAAUUCGACGAUAAGCGAGAAACCUCACCUAGACUUGACAUCUCGAGAAGGUUCUAGAAAUAGAACUGUGCCGCAAGGAACUCGAUGACAGGUGCUGCAUGGUUGUCGUCAGCUCGUGCCCUGAGGUGUUCGGUUAAGUCCGUAAACGAGCGCAACCCUUGUCAUAUGUUGUAUUUUUCGUAUGAAACUGCCGGCUCCAAGCCGGAGGAAGGUAGGGAUGACGUCAAAUCAGCAUGGCCCUUAUGUCUAGGGCUACACACGUGAUACAAUGGGUCGUACAAUGGGUAGCCAAGGAGUAAUCCGGAGCCAAUCCCUAAAACGAUCCUCAGUUCGGAUUGAGGUCUGCAACUCGACCUCAUGAAGUUGGAAUCGCUAGUAACCGUGGAUCAUCAUGCCACGGUGAAUAUGUUCCCGGGUCUUGUACUCACCGCCCGUCACAUCAUGGAAGAUGGAAGCACCCGAAG